AGUGGCGAACGGGUGAGUAACGCGUAAGAACCUACCCUCAAGAGGGGGAUAACCCCGAGAAAUCGGGGCUAAUACCGCAUAAAGUCCCCCGAUUUAUCGGGGGACUAAAGCUGAGGCGCUUGAGGAAGGGCUUGCGUCCGAUUAGCUAGUUGGUGGGGUAAUGGCUCACCAAGGCGAAGAUCGGUAGCUGGUCUGAGAGGAUGAUCAGCCACAUUGGGACUGAGAUACGGCCCAGACUCCUACGGGAGGCAGCAGCAGGGGAUAUUGCGCAAUGGGCGAAAGCCUGACGCAGCAACGCCGCGUGGGGGAAGAAGGCCUUCGGGUUGUAAACCCCUUUUCUCGGGGAAGAUAGUGACGGUACCCGAGGAAUAAGUUUCGGCUAACUACGUGCCAGCAGCCGCGGUAAGACGUAGGAGGCAAGCGUUAUCCGGAUUUAUUGGGCGUAAAGGGCGUGUAGGCGGCUCUUUAAGUCUGUGGUGAAAUCUCCUGGCUCAACUGGGAGGGGGCCACAGAUACUGGAGGGCUUGAGGGCAGCAGAGGGGGGUGGAAUUCCCGGUGUAGUGGUGAAAUACGUAGAUAUCGGGAGGAACACCAGUGGCGAAGGCGGCCCCCUGGGCUGUUCCUGACGCUGAGGCGCGAAAGCGUGGGGAGCGAAC
rnacentral:rRNA from 1 species